CGUACCUUCUGAUGGGGAAUAACCACGGGAAACUGUGGCUAAUACCGCAUGAAUGACGUGAGUCUAAAGCAGCCCUCUGUUUACAAGGUUGCGUCAGUAGAGCGGCCUAUGUCCCAUUAGCUAGUUGGUAGGGUAAUGGCCUACCAAGGCGACGAUGGGUAGCUGGUCUGAGAGGAUGAUCAGCCUCACUGGGACUGAGACACGGCCCAGACUCCUACGGGAGGCAGCAGUCGGGAAUUUUGCACAAUGGGCGCAAGCCUGAUGCAGCAACGCCGCGUGAGUGAAGAAGGCUCUUGGGUUGUAAAGCUCUUUCGGCCGGGAAGAAGGGGCCCCUUGCGAACAGUCUGGGGUUUUGACGGUACCGG
rnacentral:rRNA from 1 species